GUGCACCAGGCGCGAACCUCCGCAAUACACGAAGUGUGACGGGCCAUCCCGAGUGCCGUCCGCUGAGGGACGGCUUUCCCCAGUGUACAUAGCUGGGGGAAUAAGGAGAGGGCAAGCCUGGUGUCAGCCGCCGCGGUAAUACCAGCUCUCCGAGUGGUGGGGCGCUUAUUGGGCCUAAAGCAUCCGUAGCCGGCUGGGCAAAGUCCUCC
rnacentral:rRNA from 1 species